AAAAAGCCUCGACGCGAGGUUCUAGCCGCCCGUACCCCAAACCGACUCAGGUGGUCAGGUAGAGAAUACUAAGGCGAUCGAGAGAAUCGUGGUUAAGGAACUCGGCAAAAUGCCCCCGUAACUUCGGGAGAAGGGGGGCCUGAAGCGUGAACCGACUUGCUCGGGGAGCGUGAAGGGCCGCAGAGACCAGGGAGAAGCGACUGUUUACUAAAAACACAGGUCCGUGCGAAGUCGCAAGACGAUGUAUACGGACUGACGCCUGCCCGGUGCUGGAAGGUUAAGAGGACGGGUCAGCCGCAAGGCGAAGAUCAGAAUUUAAGCCCCAGUAAACGGCGGUGGUAACUAUAACCAUCCUAAGGUAGCGAAAUUCCUUGUCGGGUAAGUUCCGACCUGCACGAAUGGCGUAACGACUUCUCCGCUGUCUCAACCGCGAACUCGGCGAAAUUGCACUACGAGUAAAGAUGCUCGUUACGCGCAGCAGGACGGAAAGACGCCGGGACCUUUACUAUAGUUUGGUAUUGGUGUUCGGUGCGGCUUGUGUAGGAUAGGUGGGAGACUGUGAAGCCGGCACGCCAGUGUCGGUGGAGUCAACGUUGAAAUACCACUCUGGUCGCUCUGGAUAUCUAACCUCGGUCCGUGAUCCGGACUAGGGACAGUGCCUGAUGUGUAGUUUAACUGGGGCGGUUGCCUCCUAAAAUGUAACGGAGGCGCUCAAAGGUUCCCUCAGCCUGGUUGGCAAUCAGGUGGCGAGUGCAAGUGCACAAGGGAGCUUGACUGUGAGACUGACAGGUAGCAGGGACGAAAGUCGGAACUAGUGAUCCGGCGGUGGCUUGUGGAAGCGCCGUCCCUCAACGGAUAAAAGGUACCCCGGGGAUAACAGGCUGAUCUUGCCCAAGAGUCCAUAUCGACGGCAUGGUUUGGCACCUCGAUGUCGGCUCGUCGCAUCCUGGGGCUGGAGUAGGUCCCAAGGGUUGGGCUGUUCGCCCAUUAAAGCGGUACGCGAGCUGGGUUUAGAACGUCGUGAGACAGUUCGGUCCCUAUCCGCUGCGCGCGCAGGAAACUUGAGAAGGGCUGUCCCUAGUACGAGAGGACCGGGACGGACGAACCUCUGGUGUGUCAGUUGUUCCGCCAGGAGCACGGCUGGUUGGCUACGUUCGGAAGGGAUAACCGCUGAAAGCAUCUAAGCGGGAAGCCUGCUUCAAGAUGAGGUUUCCAUGGGGACUUGAUCCCCGAGAGGCUCCCAGCUAGACCACUGGGUAGAUAGGCCGGAUGUGGAAGAGGGGACGAAAGACCCUCGCAGCUGACCGGUACUAAUAAGCCGACAACUUC
rnacentral:rRNA from 1 species